AGUGAACGCUGGCGGUAGGCCUAACACAUGCAAGUCGAACGGCAGCACAGUAAGAGCUUGCUCUUACGGGUGGCGAGUGGCGGACGGGUGAGGAAUACAUCGGAAUCUACUUUUUCGUGGGGGAUAACGUAGGGAAACUUACGCUAAUACCGCAUACGACCUACGGGUGAAAGCAGGGGAUCUUCGGACCUUGCGCGAUUGAAUGAGCCGAUGUCGGAUUAGCUAGUUGGCGGGGUAAAGUCCCACCAAGGCGACGAUCCGUAGCUGGUCUGAGAGGAUGAUCAGCCACACUGGAACUGAGACACGGUCCAGACUCCUACGGGAGGCAGCAGUGGGGAAUAUUGGACAAUGGGCGCAAGCCUGAUCCAGCCAUACCGCGUGGGUGAAGAAGGCCUUCGGGUUGUAAAGCCCUUUUGUUGGGAAAGAAAAGCAGCAGGUUAAUACCCCGCUGUUCUGACGGUACCCAAAGAAUAAGCACCGGCUAACUGCGU
rnacentral:rRNA from 1 species